UACAUUUAACUUUCAUCAGUUUGAUUGUCUGCGAGAUGCUUAUAUUAAUGCAACAUUGUUUUGUCUCUUAUUAUGUGGAACCAAGGCGGCAAAGAAGAGGAAGAAAGUAGAGGCCAAGAUCAAAAAUCCUGAGACAUAUCUCGAUGAUCCAAAGAACAUACACUUUGAGACGAACGUGAAGAAUAGGUUAUACGAGCUGUUGGUUCAUGCACGAUUGGUGAAAGACUAUUGCUUGAGAUUUGGAUGAAUCAUGCACGAUUGUCUAAUUAACUGUUUCUCUUGUUUUAGUAUGAAUCUUGUUUUAAAAUUACAAGAUCUAAUCUUUGAGAUAUGUUGUA